AAACUUUCAACAACGGAUCUCUUGGCUCUCGCAUCGAUGAAGAACGCAGCGAAAUGCGAUAAGUAAUGUGAAUUGCAGAAUUCAGUGAAUCAUCGAAUCUUUGAACGCACCUUGCGCCUUUUGGUAUUCCGAAAGGCAUGCCUGUUUGAGUGUCAUGA
rnacentral:rRNA from 14 species